rnacentral:rRNA from 1 species
AGCGAACGCUGGCGGCAGGCCUAACACAUGCAAGUCGAACGAACCUUUCGGGGUUAGUGGCGGACGGGUGAGUAACACGUGGGAACGUGCCUUUAGGUUCGGAAUAACUCAGGGAAACUUGUGCUAAUACCGAAUGUGCCCUUCGGGGGAAAGAUUUAUCGCCUUUAGAGCGGCCCGCGUCUGAUUAGCUAGUUGGUUGAGGUAAUGGCUCACCAAGGCGACGAUCAGUAGCUGGUCUGAGAGGAUGAUCAGCCACAUUGGGACUGAGACACGGCCCAAACUCCUACGGGAGGCAGCAGUGGGGAAUCUUGCGCAAUGGGCGAAAGCCUGACGCAGCCAUGCCGCGUGAAUGAUGAAGGUCUUAGGAUUGUAAAAUUCUUUCACCGGGGACGAUAAUGACGGUACCCGGAGAAGAAGCCCCAGCUAACUUCGUG